rnacentral:rRNA from 1 species
GACGAACGCUGGCGGCGUGCCUAACACAUGCAAGUCGAACGGGGUAAUUUCUUCGGAGAUUGCUUAGUGGCGAACGGGUGAGUAACGCGUGAUAAACCUGCCUUUCAGUGGGGGACAACAGUUGGAAACGACUGCUAAUACCGCAUAAUGUCAUUUGGGGGCAUCCCUGAAUGACCAAAGAUUUAUUGCUGAAAGAUGGUCUCGCGUCUGAUUAGCUAGUUGGUGAGGUAACGGCUCACCAAGGCGACGAUAAGUAGCCGGUCUGAGAGGAUGAACGGCCACAUUGGGACGGAGAUGCGGCCCAGACUCCUACGGGAGGCAGCAGUGGGGAAUAUUGGGCAAUGGGGGAUACCCUGACCCAGCAACUCCGCGUGCAAGAAGAAGGCCUUCGGGUUGUAAACUUCUUUUACCAGGGACGAACAAAGGACAGGACCUGGAGAAAAAGCAACGGCUAACUGCGUGCCAGCCGCCGCGGUAACAC